ACCAUGGCUGUAGACUGUUACC
rnacentral:miRNA from 2 species